rnacentral:pre_miRNA from 1 species
GAGACACCCCUAUGGAGCAGGACUUGCUUCAGUGGGGCUUUGGUGCUCACUGAGUCUGCGCUUGAGUGUGUUGCU